rnacentral:misc_RNA from 1 species
UUUCCGUAGGUGAACCUGCGGAAGGAUCAUUAAAGAGUAAGGGUCUUCGGGCCCGAUCUCCAACCCUUUGUUUAACUACCAUGUUGCUUUGGCGGGCCCGUCUCACGACCGCCGGAAGCUUGGCUUCGACCAAACUUCUGGCCCGUGCCCGUCAGUGGCCCCUUCAAAUUCUUGAUCAAGUAUGAUGUCUUAGUUAAAAACUUAAUAGUUAAAACUUUCAACAACGGAUCUCUUGGUUCUG